AGGAAUAUUGGUCAAUGGACGCAAGUCUGAACCAGCCAUGCCGCGUGAAGGAUUAAGGCCCUCUGGGUUGUAAACUUCUUUUAUAGGGGUAGAAAUGUGACGGUUCUCCGUCACUUGACGGUACCCUGGGAAUAAGCACCGGCUAACUCCGUGCCAGCAGCCGCGGUAAUACGGAGGGUGCAAGCGUUAUCCGGAUUCACUGGGUUUAAAGGGUGCGUAGGUGGGCAGAUAAGUCAGUGGUGAAAUCUUCCGGCUUAACCGGGAAACUGCCGUUGAUACUAGUUGUCAUGAAUAUUGCGGAGGUAAGCGGAAUAUGUCAUGUAGCGGUGAAAUGCUUAGAUAUGACAUAGAACACCCAUUGCGAAGGCAGCUUACUACACAAUCAUUGACACUGAGGCACGAAAGCGUGGGUAGCGAACA
rnacentral:rRNA from 1 species